rnacentral:lncRNA from 10 species
AACAGAUCUCCAAAGAAAGAGCAGCAAAUGUGGAGCAAACUCAAAACGACCCUGAGCUCCAGUCAUCCAUGUAAAUGGCUACACAAGCAACAUGUUAGCACCUCUUCUCCCCACUACCCCAUGUUGAGCUGAGUCCGCUCAGAGACGUAAGGGGGUAAGGAGAGGAUAAAGAGGAAUGUUUUCCUCCAGAGCCUUCUUCAUGUCUGGAGAACUGUUAGAUGUUCUUUUGGAGAAUGGCUUGGCUCUUACAAGAAUUUCAAGAUCUGAUUGCGCAGUGCUGGUUGCAUUUUCCUGACUAUACAAUGCUCCUGGACUUUGUGGAUGCUGUUCCUCUGUUUGGAAUAACCUUACUCUUUCCUUCUCCCUACUCCACGCUUCAUCGUCCUUUAUGAAAAGUGCUGGGCAUGAGCAAACUCCAUCUCACUAUGAACUCAUCAGGCAGCAUCAAAUGUCUCUCUUCUGUGCUCACAUCAAGUAUUUAUUCCCUAAAUGUCUCCCUAGCAACUAGAGUGAGUCCCCACUUCAUAAACUGACAAAAAAUUGCCUCUGUAUAUAGUUUUUAAACUUAUGUAGAAUGAAAGUUUUAAUUUGAUUUUUUUUCACACAUACUUUUCCUUUGCCUUAUAUUUGCAAUUUUCUAAAUUCAAAGUAUUAUCUCUUUCAAGCUGU